rnacentral:rRNA from 1 species
ACGCUCGACACCUACGGGAGGCAGCAGUGGGGAAUAUUGCACAAUGGAGGAAACUCUGAUGCAGCGAUGCCGCGUGAGGGAAGAAGGUUUUCGGAUUGUAAACCUCUGUCUUUGGGGACGAUAAUGACGGUACCCAAGGAGGAAGCUCCGGCUAACUACGUACCAGCAGCCCGCGGUAAUCUGAGCGGGCUGGCAAGGC